ACCAGGUACGUGACCCUGCACUUCCCAGCUCUCCUCUACCCAGAGGCCCCUCCCCACCACCCGCUCUAUAUAAACCCUGGGGCUGAGACAGAUCCACCAGUCCCAGCCCCUGGAUUUGAACCAAGGAUGCUGCUUCUGCUCUUCACAGCCCUUCUCCCAUUCACCGCAGCCUUUCUCCUGCCCCCAAGGCCUCAUAUGGACUGGGUCAUCGGGUACGAGGAAGCCCUGCUCAGCUCCAGACCCUACAUGGCCUAUGUGCAAAUUGGGUCAACAGGAAGUUGUGGAGGGUUCCUGAUCCAGGAGGAUGUGGUGGUGACAGCGGCUCAUUGUAACUGCAACCUAGGCAACAUCUUUGUCUACCUGGGAGUCCAAGACUUCAUGGAGCCAGGACAGAACUGGCAACGGAUCAAGGCCCGUCAUUGGGUCCAGCACCCUGACUUCAACAAUGAGAACUUUGACAAUGACAUCAUGCUGCUGAAGCUGUGGCGCAGUGCAGAGCUGAAUGAGUGGGUGAUGCCCAUCCCCCUGCCGGAGGCCAAUCACCACGUCAGCCCAGGCUCCAAGUGCAGUGUGGCCGGGUGGGGUCAGACCGGAGUGAACACCACCACCGACAGGCUGCUGGAGGCGGAGCAGGAGGUGGUGUCAGACGGCCUGUGCAGAGAGCGGUACCGGAAUUAUGACUCUACCAUCAUGCUGUGUGCCGGCAGCCCCCAUGUCAAUAAAUCACCAUUCCAUGUAAAUAUCCCCCUGCCUGCUUGGAGCCACUGGGGGUGCCGCAAGCUGUUCCAGGGAAAGGAGCUGGUGGAAACCAGUAUGGCCAUGCCCCUCCCAUGCUCCAGUGCCCCAAGAGGGGAGUCCAUGGUGCAACAUGGGAGAUGCAGCCCAGCCAGGGAGAUCAGCACCUAGUAUGUCUCCAGAGAGGAAUCUCCACUGUUAGUGCCCUUGUGCAAGGCGCUGGUGGAAACAAGAUGAAAUUUAACAUGGGCUCAUGCAUAUAAGGACAAGUAACAAGAAAAUUGCUGCUCUGAGCUGGGGGCUCAUGAGCUUGAAGCAACAGAGGGGGAUGGGGAGGGUGUGUCUGUUGCUUGCAGGAUGACUAUGGGCAGCCAAUGGGCCAUGGCCAGGAGAAAGGCCCAUGUGAUCCUGGGAUGGAGCAGUUCAGGUGUCUCCAGUAGAGAGGGAGGGUUUAAUGCCAGCAGAGAAGGCUCUGGGCAGAGCUCAGCUGGAAUCUGGUGCACAAUUCUGGGCAUUCCUGUCCCAGAAAGAGGCAUUCCUGCUGGAGCAGGUGCUGAGAAGAGUUGGUGGGAUGAUCAGGGGAAUGGAGAGCCAGUCUGACAAGAGGGGAGAAAAAUACCUGGGCUAGCUUAGCCUAAAGCACAGGCUGAGAGGCAUCUGAUUGCUCUAUAAAUACAUCGGGAUGGGGGGAACACAAAGGAGCAAGAUGACCAUUGAAGCUAAAGGACUAAUCAGGAGUGGGACUCAAUGGGGGCUGGAGAUGAGGAGAAGGUUUCUAACGAUCAGAGGAACAACCUCCAACAGGAGAAGUUUGGGGGAACAGUCUAACCAGGAUGCCAAUGAAACUUGAUAAGUUUAUGGAUGGAUGAUACAAUGGAGCUGUCUGGGAUAGCGUGGACUUGACUCCAUGACCCAGUAGGGCCCAUCCAGUCCUGUGUUCCCAUAAGGGCAUGAGGCACCUGAAAAACAAUUCCCAUGAUGCACCAUAACUAGAAAUUGUUGAGCUUUGAUUUUUUAGCAAAAUGUUCUGGGAACAAUGUUGAUGAAAAAGGGGAACCCCGCCCCCAUCAUCACCACAUAUUCUGACCCUUUCUACUCUUCAACAUCAAUGGAGGCUCUACUUGUGAACUCAACCCUGAGGCUACCCAACAGACAGGAUCCUGAGUAAAAUCCUGGCCCCAGAGAUUUGGAUGGGAGCUUUACUGUUGAUGUCUAUGGGGCCAGGAAGGCGUUGGAGCUGAGGGAGAGUCAGUGUUCCCAUUUCACGGGAACUGGCAACAUUUCAAUCUUUGUUUUCGAAGAAAAGUUGAGAUGUCAACAUUUUUGGCAGAAUGUAAAUUCCAAAAACAGGUUUGACUCAGAAAUGUUGAAAUGUUUCACUGCAACAUUUUUAAUCAAAAUGAAUCAUGCUGAGAUGUGAACAGAUUGAAACAUUUCCUUCUGUGUGAACAAACUGGAGAGAGUCCAGAGGAAAGAAACAAGAACAAAUAAAUGAUCAGAGGUUUAGAACAGCUGACCUAGGAGGAAAGGCUGAAAGAAUUGAGCAUAUUUAGGCUAGAGAAGAUGAGGCUGGAGAAGGGACAUGAUAACCAUUUUCAAAUAUUUUAAGGGCUGCUAUCAAGAGGACAGUUAGCAAAUGUUCUCCAAGUCCACUGAAGGUGGGCUAAGAAGUAAUGGGCUUAAUAUGCAGCAAAGGAGAUUCAUGUUGGAUAUUAGGAAAAACUUUCUAACUCUGAGGGUCCUUAAGCUCCGGAACAGGUUAACUAAGGAGGUUGAGGAAUCCCUGUCAUUGGAGGUUUUUAAGACCAGGUUGGACAAACACCUAUCAGGGAUGAUCUAGGUUUAUUUGGUCCGGCCUCCAUGCAGAGAGUUAGACUAGAUGACCUCUCAAGGUUCCUUUCAGGCUGACAUUUCUAUGAAUCUAGGAUUUUGGUUGUUGAGUUCACUCAAAAUGCUUCAUUUUAAGCCAGUUCAACAUUAAGCUGCAGUUCCUUACCAGCACAUUGCCUUCUGGGAGCUUAGUUCAGGCCUCUAUUUUCCCUUAAAUAGCUCCUGCCUGGGCUAUAUCUCCCACAAUGCACUGAGUCAUAUGAUUCCCAUGAUGCCCCAAACAGCUCAGUCGGAAGCAAAUCUGAAUUACAUUCUGAGAGAUGAAGUCCUCCACAGAGCCAAACCCUUAGGAGAGAAUGAAGAUUGAACUACAACACCUGUAAACCAUUGCACAGAUAGGAAAAAGCAGUUUAUAGGAAAAAGCAGUUUAACGUUUUGUUGAACUGAUUACUAGCUAUGGAAUAUUCUGAUUUGGGUGGAACUGGCUCAAAAUGAAAUAUUUAAUUUCAAUUUUCCUGAUGCAAAAAUGGAAAAUUCUCAGGGAAAUCAAAAACAUUUUAUGGAAAAUUUCAGUGUUGUGGAAACUGCCUUUUCCACGGAUACAUCAUUCUGCCCAGCUCUAGAUUUCUCUCUGUGCCCACCCAUUUUUAGGCCGGUUCUGUUUGGCAACCAGGCCUGGGCCUUCAGCUGCAGAGGUCACCUGUCCCACGUGCAAUCUGAGCUCUCCAGAGGACAGACUGGGCUGGGUAAUGUUAGUCACUGAUGUUAUUCUUCUUAUUGGCAGGGCGAUUCUGGCGGGCCCCUCGUGUGCGAUGGUGUGGUCCAAGGCAUCAUCUCCAAUGGAGAUCCGGAUGGGCGCCCCCCCAGCAUAUACACUAGAAUCUCCAAAUUCAUCCCCUGGAUCAGUGAAACUCUGCAGAAACUGAGUUAAAGAUAUUUAUUUAUUUAUUAUUAUUGUGAUACUGAAUGAAGGUUGGAAAAACCAAAGGAAGGGAACCUGGGAAGCAUUGCUGACAUACAUUGGGACAAAAGAAGAAUUGUUUAUUUCCAACUAUUUGGAAGAUAUUGAAAAUGGACACUUGUUUGAAUAACCAAUGGCACUUGAGGGGAAAAAAUCCAUUUUAAAAAAAAUAAAAAAGUCUUGUUUGAACAAUUCAC